rnacentral:lncRNA from 1 species
AUGAACAAAGCUAGUGGAGGUGAUGGAAUUCCAGUUGAGCUGUUCCAAAUCCUGAAAGAUGAUGCUGUGAAAGUGCUGCACUCAGUAUGCCAGCAAAUUUGGAAAACUCAGCAGUGGCCACAGGACUGGAAAAGGUCAGUUUUCAUUCCAAUCCCAAAGAAAGGCAAUGCCAAAGAAUGCUCAAACUACCGCACAAUUGCACUCAUCUCACAUGCUAGUAAAGUAAUGCUCAAAAUUCUCCAAGCCAGACUUCAGCAAUACGUGAACCGUGAACUCCCUGAUGUUCUAGCUGGUUUUAGAAAAGGCAGAGGAACCAGAGAUCAAACUGCGAACACCAGCUGGAUCAUGGAAAAAGCAAGAGAGUUCCAGAAAAACAUCUAUUUCUGCUUUAUUGACUAUGCCAAAGCCUUUGACUGUGUGGAUCACAAUAAACUGUGGAAAAUUCAGACAGAGAUGGGAAUACCAGACCACCUGACCUGCCUCUUGAAAAACCUAUAUGCAGGUCAGGAAGCAACAGUUAGAACUGGACAUAGAACAACAGACUGGUUCCAAAUAGGAAGAGGAGUACGUCAAGGCUGUAUAUUGUCACCUUGCUUAUUUUACUUCUAUGCAGAGUACAUCAUGAGAAACGCUGGACUGGAAGAAACACAAGCUGGAAUCAAGAUUGCCGGGAGAAAUAUCAAUAACCUCAGAUAUGCAGAUGACACCACCCUUAUGGCAGAAAGUGAAGAGGAGCUAAAAAGCCUCUUGAUGAAAGUGAAAGAGGAGAGUGAAAAAGUUGGCUUAAAGCUCAACAUUCAGAAAACGAAGAUCAUGGCAUCUGGUCCCAUCACUUCAUGGGAAAUAGAUGGGGAGACAGUAGAAACAGUGUCAGACUUUAUUAUUCUGGGCUCCAAAAUCACUGCAGAUGGUGAUUGCAGCCAUGAAAUUAAAAGACGCUUAUUCCUUGGAAGAAAAGUUAUGACCAACCUAGACAGUACAUUCAGAAGCAGAGACAUUACUUUGCCAACAAAUGUCUGUCUAUUCAAGGCUAUGGUUUUUCCUGUGGUCAUGUAUGGAUGUGAGAGUUGGACUGUGAAGAAGGCUGAGCACCAAAGAAUUGAUGCUUUUGAACUGUGGUGUUGGAGAAGACUCUUGAGAAUCCCUUGGACUGCAAGGAGAUCCAACCAGUCCAUUCUGAAGGAGAUCAGCCCUGGGAUUUCUUUGGAAGGAAUGAUGCUAAAGCUGAAACUCCAGUACUUUGGCCACCUCAUGUGA